CCUCAUUCCACCACAAGUAUGAGUGGAAGGGAAAGGUUGAGUACUUCAAGAGGGGAAGGGAUGCGUCAGGAUGAAUUGUCACCUAUUGUCCAAUCAAGUAAAGUGAUUGAUUAUGGACAUACUGGAAAAUAUACUGGGAGCUUUGGGGAUGAAAUUGGAAGAAGCAGCAGUGGAGCCAGUAGUGGUGGAAGUGGAGGUACGCUGCUGAUGGGCUCCUAUGAUAGUAGCGGUCACAGUCGAGAACCACUGCAAAAAAGUAUGACAGAGGUGAAAAACAGCACCUUGGUUUCUUCCCGUGAUCAAGGCAGCUCUUUUACCAGUCAUGGCUCAAUGCGAAGUAGUGGUCCAGCUCAACAACUGCCAACACAACCAAACCAGCCUUCUCAAGAAAUCUUCAAAGGUUUCUCUCUGCCAAAGACAGACACAGACUUAAGACCUCUUAAAGCAGAAGUCACUAAAACCCUUCCGUUGAAAAAUCCAGAGCCAGAUCGCCAGUCAGCAUCAAAAAGCCAACUAACUCCUAAUAUAGUUCGUAGUGUGCAUCCAAGUCGACCUGGCCUUGUACUCAUUGGCAGCAGCAGCAGCGACAGUCACAUCAAAGAAAAGAGUAAGACUCACGGGCAAAUAUCAAAUGUUUCUGAGCAGAUGAACAAACAGCAAAUGCAGCAGAAGCAGGUACAACAGCAACAGGUGAAACAGACAAUGCAACAACCACCACCAAAGCAGCAGAUGCAGCAACAGUUGAAGCAACAACAGUCAAAGCAGCAGCAGACGCAGCAGCAGCAGACGGAGCAGCAGCAGAUGCAGCAGCAGACGCAACAACUGAAGCAGCAGACGCAACAACUGAAGCAGACGCAGCAGCAGCAGACGCAACAGCAGCAACUGGAGCAGCAGCAGACGCAACAACAAUUAAAGCAGCAGCAGCAGAUACAACAGCAGCAACUGAAGCAGCAGCAGCAGACGGCCCAGGUACCUAACCUGCCGAUUGGGUUGCAGCAGAUGCAGAAUCAGCCAGCUGUGCAUAUGGGACAAGCUUUGCAGUCUCAAGUUUUUUCGGCUGCAAAGCCAGUUCCACAGCCGUCCCUCAUGCCAGGGCUCACGAUGCCCGUUCCUCCGGGUCUCUCGCCGCUAAUGCAGAACCUCGUGAAUUUCAUUCAUAUACCGCAGCCCGCUUCCACCAAGCAGCUUCCAGCAAAGGUAGAAGUGACAGGGAAUAUCCCAGUGCUGGCCCAGAUGCAAGACUACACUGCCACUUCACCUAGGGUCUUUCCGCAUACCUGCUCUCUAUGUAACAAGGAAUGUAAUCAGAUGAAGGACUUUGGUUUGGGAAAAACUUCAUGUAUGCUACUUUAAAGUUUAUUUGUUUGUUUUGUUCACUAUUCCUGCAUGAUGGUGACUAUAGGAAGACUACCAACUUGGCUUGCAAACAUUUGGACAAAUUUUUCACAUAUUUCUGCAAUUCAGUAUUCUGUACCAGAAUUUCUGAAGGAUUACAGUGCAGACUAAACUUAACUAUAUGUCUAUCAGAUAUUGUAAUUGAAAAACACUACUAAUAAGAGACCUUCAGAAUCUUCAGUGGUCUGUACUUGCAAUUGAUAGAUUUAAUCUCUUUUAAAUUGACAUAAACUGAUGCUAAGACAUUCAAGGCUUUUGCUAACAAUGGAACCAAGGCCUCAGAUGACGUGAUGAGGAGAAACCUGCAAACCUGACGAGCCUGUGCAUCAGAAAAUGUUGGAAGAUGGCUGGUUUUUCAUUUGUCUCUGUUCUUGGGCUGCUGUUCCACAGUGCACAUUCAGCUUUGCUUUUUCUGGAACUGUUGCUGAAUGUAAAAGUUCCCCUUUUUGUCUUUUGUCAUUAGAGUUAAGAAUAGUGUGUUUUGUCCUUUAUUUCACAUUAGUGGGCACCUUGUUUUUGUGUAAUACUCGCUUCUUCUUUUUUUUUAACUCAUACUUUCUUUUUAAGUUAGUGUUUCUGUGUCCCAAAAGGCAACAUCAUUUACUACCACAAACAUAAGCACCCGCUGCGCCCAGUCAUGAGCUACACAAGCACCAGAUUUGAUUUGAUUUGUUGUUGAAUCUCUCUUUAUGGAUCGGCCUUCCUUCGCUGCACCAAAUUUCACAUUUGAGCUCCUCGUCAAAGAAACAGCGCCUUCCUCUUCUGGUCUAUUUCAACGUCAUCUUCCUGUCGCUACUCCAACUGUGAUCGUCAUCGGCAUUUUGUCCUAAUCCAAACUUGGCCUCUCCUGAGACGACCUUCUUGGAGCUUCGGGAAAGUUUGAUGCCAUAAGAAGAGCCUGAGAGUCCAGAAUCCAGAGCCUAAUUGACCUUUUGUUUUGGUUGUUUGUAAUCAGAUGUUUGACUUGUGUUUUCUAUAUAUACUAAAUAAUUUCACUUUUAAAAUUUUAUCCCAGGAAAGGUAUAAUGUGUC
ensembl:lncRNA